rnacentral:rRNA from 1 species
GCAAGUCGAACGAGAAAGUUAUAAUUGAUUCUUCGGAUGAUUUUAUAACCGGAAAGUGGCGAAAGGGUGAGUAACGCGUCAGCAACCUGCCUCUAUGUCGGGGAUAACAGCCGGAAACAGCUGCUAAUACCGGAUGUGAAUACAGUUUCGCAUGUAACUGUAUUUAAAGAUUUAUUGCAUAGAGAUGGGCUCGCGUUCCAUUAGCUAGUUGGUGAGGUAACGGCUCACCAAGGCAACGAUGGAUAGGUGGUCUGAGAGGACGAUC